rnacentral:rRNA from 1 species
CACUCCUGCGGGAGGCAGCAGUGGGGAAUUUUGGACAAUGGGCGAAAGCCUGAUCCAGCAAUGCCGCGUGAGUGAAGAAGGCCUUCGGGUUGUAAAGCUCUUUUGUCAGGGAAGAAACGGUGAAAGCUAAUAUCUUUUGCUAAUGACGGUACCUGAAGAAUAAGCACCGGCUAACUACGUGCCAGCAGCCGCGGUAAUACGUAGGGUGCAAGCGUUAAUCGGAAUUACUGGGCGUAAAGCGUGCGCAGGCGGUUUUGUAAGUCUGAUGUGAAAUCCCCGGGCUCAACCUGGGAAUUGCAUUGGAGACUGCAAGGCUAGAAUCUGGCAGAGGGGGGUAGAAUUCCACGUGUAGCAGUGAAAUGCGUAGAUAUGUGGAGGAACACCGAUGGCGAAGGCAGCCCCCUGGGUCAAGAUUGACGCUCAUGCACGAAAGCGUGGGGAGCAAACAGGAUUAGAAACCCCUGUAGACCCAUGA